rfam:Rattus norvegicus chromosome X, whole genome shotgun sequence.
GAUGAUGUAGCUCAGCGGUAGAGCAACUGCCUUGCGUGUAAGUGGAUCUGGGUUCGACUCCCAGCAUCUCG